CUCUCCUGAACGAAUCCCUCACUCACUCAGUGACCCUUCCUUCUUCCUUCAUUUCGGAUAAAGAAAAACCCCACAAAUCCUUUCUUCUUUCUUUCCUCAGAUAGAAGAAACCCUCACAUGUUUUUGUUUCCCUUCUUGUAGCCACGCGUUCUUCCUUUCCCACGUCUUCAUUCAGACUCCAUCAUCAGCCACGUCCAUUUUCUCUCUCGCGCAUUGGAGAGAGCAACUUCAUUCUCGCGUUCUUCUUCCGCAAGAGCAUUUUCUUCUCGAGAGCUCACCAUCAACCGUUGGUGAGAGGGGGAUAGAACUAUCUGGGGGACAGAAAUAAAGGAUUGCAAUACCUCGUGCCAUAACCCUGAUGCUGAAGUUAUGGCCUUGUCCCCCAAGAGCCUUCUGGCCAUAAAUAAGUUCAUUUGUGAGAUCUGCAACAAAGGAUUUCAGAGAGAGCAGAACCUGCAACAUCACAGAAGAGGGCACAAUUUUCUGUGAAAGCUGAAGCAGAGAACAAGCAAAGAGUUUAUUAUCAUUAAGACGUGAUCUUAGAAGAGGGAUAUGUUUGAAAGCUUCUUCGAGGAACUUGUAAUCAAGAGUCCAAAUGGUGUUUGGAACAUUUUUGGUGGCAAGCUUUCAUGGGACUUGAAGCAAUUGUAUGUGAUGAUCCAAAUUUUGAGGGGCGUAGAAAUCCUUCCAGUGGCACUGCUGAAGGCUAUAGGAGCUAGUGUUUACUUGGUCAGGAAACCGUUACAAAAUGUAAAAUAAUUCUUGUAAUUGUCUUUAUGAAUAAGAGUUGUAUUUUUUUAGUUCUAUUUAUAGAAUUAUCUAAUAAAGUUUUCAUAUUUUAAUUA